rnacentral:rRNA from 1 species
GAUGAACGCUGGCGGCGUGCUUAACACAUGCAAGUCGAACGGAAAGGCCCUGCUUUUGUGGGGUGCUCGAGUGGCGAACGGGUGAGUAACACGUGAGUAACCUGCCCUUGACUUUGGGAUAACUUCAGGAAACUGGGGCUAAUACCGGAUAGGAGCUCCUGCUGCAUGGUGGGGGUUGGAAAGUUUCGGCGGUUGGGGAUGGACUCGCGGCUUAUCAGCUUGUUGGUGGGGUAGUGGCUUACCAAGGCUUUGACGGGUAGCCGGCCUGAGAGGGUGACCGGCCACAUUGGGACUGAGAUACGGCCCAGACUCCUACGGGAGGCAGCAGUGGGGAAUAUUGCACAAUGGGCGGAAGCCUGAUGCAGCAGCGCCGCGUGCGGGAUGACGGCCUUCGGGUUGUAAACCGCUUUCGCCUGUGACGAAGCGUGAGUGACGGUAAUGGGUAAAGAAGCACCGGCUAACUACGUG